AACGCUGUGUGAAAAAGAUAAACUUUCCUAGAGACAAAGGUUUCUUCGUCAAAUUUCCUAUUUUCACUUUGCGUU
rnacentral:ncRNA from 1 species